GUUUCUGUGAAUAAGAGUUGAUGCACUUUUUUGUUUUGUACAGUACAUUAAAAACGGUAACUAGUGAUAUUUUGUGUUCCCACUAAAGAUUAAGGCAGGACUUAAAUCUUAAGUCUUAUGCUACUAGCCAAGUCUUAAAAAAGUUACUAGACACUGUAAGUCAUCAGGGGUAAAUGUCUAUCUGCCAAGUCUAAAUUUUCACUCGCUAAUGGCUAGUGGCAAUUGGAAAUUUUGAUCCCUGAUUAAGGUAUAGGUAGAAUCCAUGCAUUAUUAUUCUGUAUUAUUCUGGUUCAUUAACUAGCUCUGGGGAAUGUGGAAACAAAUGGUGAGAAUGACGUAAAAACCCCUGGGAAACAGGUAGGAGAAUUACAACUGGAAGGGGACCCAGGGGUAGAGGGAAAGUCCCUUAAAUGAGGGAAAGUCCCUUAAAUGAGGGAAAGGAGGGAAGACCCCAGAGGAGAGGGGUAGGAGGUAGCCCCACAGAAAUGGAGAUCAAAGAUGAGUAAAAUCAAUACAAGUAGACAGUAAAACAAUAUGAAGGACAGAGAGAGAAAACCAAAUCUGUACUUAUCUCUUGGAUGGAGCAGCAAAGAAAGAGGAAAU